rnacentral:tRNA from 1 species
GUCCCUGUAGUAUAACCUAACUACUUUGGUCUUGUAAACCAAAAAUGGAGAAUCCCCCUCCCAAGGACA